UUGCUGGCGACCGGCGCACGGGUGAGUAACACGUAUCCAACCUGCCCUUUACUCGGGGAUAGCCUUUCGAAAGAAAGAUUAAUACCCGAUAGUAUAAUGAUUCCGCAUGGUUUCAUUAUUAAAGGAUUCCGGUAAAGGAUGGGGAUGCGUUCCAUUAGGUUGUUGGUGAGGUAACGGCUCACCAAGCCUUCGAUGGAUAGGGGUUCUGAGAGGAAGGUCCCCCACAUUGGAACUGAGACACGGUCCAAACUCCUACGGGAGGCAGCAUG
rnacentral:rRNA from 1 species